UCCGGUUUGUCACCGGCAGUCUCAUUAGAGUGCCCAACUGAAUGUAGCAACUAAUGACAAGGGUUGCGCUCGUUGCGGGACUUAACCCAACAUCUCACGACACGAGCUGACGACAACCAUGCACCACCUGUAUACCGACCACAAGGGGGCGACUAUCUCUAGCCGUUUCCGGUAUAUGUCAAGCCUUGGUAAGGUUCUUCGCGUUGCGUCGAAUUAAGCCACAUGCUCCGCUGCUUGUGCGGGCCCCCGUCAAUUCCUUUGAGUUUUAGCCUUGCGGCCGUACUCCCCAGGCGGGGAACUUAAUGCGUUAGCUGCGGCACCGACGACGUGGAAUGUCGCCAACACCUAGUUCCCACCGUUUACGGCGUGGACUAC
rnacentral:misc_RNA from 1 species